UGAAGGUUGUGGCCUUGAGCCGUGGCUUUCGGAGCUAACGCGUUAAGUAGACCGCCUGGGGAGUACGGUCGCAAGAUUAAAACUCAAAUGAAUUGACGGGGGCCCGCACAAGCGGUGGAGCAUGUGGUUUAAUUCGAUGCAACGCGAAGAACCUUACCUACUCUUGACAUCCAGAGAAUUCGCUAGAGAUAGCUUAGUGCCUUCGGGAACUCUGAGACAGGUGCUGCAUGGCUGUCGUCAGCUCGUGUUGUGAAAUGUUGGGUUAAGUCCCGCAACGAGCGCAACCCUUAUCCUUGUUUGCCAGCACGUAAUGGUGGGAACUCCAGGGAGACUGCCGGUGAUAAACCGGAGGAAGGUGGGGACGACGUCAAGUCAUCAUGGCCCUUACGAGUAGGGCUACACACGUGCUACAAUGGCGUAUACAGAGGGCUGCCAACCAGCGAUGGUGAGCGAAUCCCACAAAGUACGUCGUAGUCCGGAUCGGAGUCUGCAACUCGACUCCGUGAAGUCGGAAUCGCUAGUAAUCGUGAAUCAGAAUGUCACGGUGAAUACGUUCCCGGGCCUUGUACACACCGCCCGUCAC
rnacentral:rRNA from 1 species